rnacentral:rRNA from 1 species
AGCAGCCGCGGUAAUUUCCAGCUCCUAAUAGCUAAUAUUAAAGUUGGUGCAGAAAAAAGCUGGUAAGUGGAAUUUCGGGAUUCUACCGUCGGUCGGGCUAACAAGUCUGUACUGGUGUGUAGAAUUUCUACCUUCUGGGGAACUAUCAUGUUAUUAAUUUAGCGUGGUGGGAAACCAUGACCUUUACCUUGAAAAAAUUAGAGUGUUCAAAGCAGGCUUACGUCUGAAUACAUUACCAUGGAAUAAUAGAAUAGGACGGUGGUCCUGUUUUGUUGGUUUCUGAAUCACCGUAAGUGAUUAAUAGGGAUAGUUGGGGGCAUUAGUAUUCAAUUGUCAGAGGUGAAAUUCUUGGAUUUAUUGAAGACUAACUUCUGCGAAAGCAUUUGCCAAGGAUGUUUUCAUUAAUCAAGAACGAAGGUUAGGGGAUCGAAGACGAUCAGAUACCGUCGUAGUCUUAACCAUAAACUAUGCCGACUAGGGAUCGGACGAUGUUAAUUUUUUAAUGACUCG